rnacentral:rRNA from 1 species
UACGAAGGGGGCUAGCGUUGUUCGGAAUUACUGGGCGUAAAGCGCACGUAGGCGGACUGAUUAGUUGGUGGUGAAAUCCCAGGGCUCAACCUUGGAACUGCCAUCAAUACUGUCAGUCUGGAGCAGAGUAGAGGUUAGUGGAAUUCCAAGUGUAGAGGUGAAAUUCGUAGAUAUUUGGAGGAACACCAGUGGCGAAGGCGACUGACUGGACUCUUGCUGACGCUGAGGUGCGAAAGCGUGGGGAGCAAACAGG